AGAGACUGGCUGUGAUCUGGUUCAAGUAAUCCAGGAUAGGCUGUGUGUAUGUUUGUGAGCCUACUCGUGAUUACUUGCACUGGGCUGCAGCCGCUGGGCAA
rnacentral:miRNA from 1 species